AAGGAUCAUUACAGUAUUCUAUUGCCAGCGCUUAACUGCGCGGCGAUAAACCUUACACACUUUGUUUUUAUUAUUAAAGACACCAUUGCUUUGGUGGAUGGGGGUAAAAGCUCGUCUGCCAGAGGUUUAACCAAAACUCUAACUUAAAAACUUGAUUUUUUAAAUUGUCAUUUUUGAAAUUUGUCUGAUUAACUUCGGAUGAAACAAAUAUUCAAAACUUUCAACAACGGAUCUCUUGGUUCUCGCAUCGAUGAAGAACGCAGCGAAUUGCGAUAAGUAUUGUGAAUUGCAGAAUUUCGUGAAUCAUCGAAUCUUUGAACGCACAUUGCACCCUGUGGUAUUCCACAGGGUAUGCCUGUUUGAGCGUCAUUUCUCUCUCAAAACGCAAGUUUUGGUGUUGAGUGAUACUCGGGUUAAAUGGCUUGAGUUUGCUUGAAAAGUAUUGGCAAGGGAAGUGAGACUUCACUACAGCUGUUUAUUCAAUGUAUUAGGUUUAUCCAACUCGUUGAUUGACAGGUGGAAUGAGAUUUUGCUAAUAGGCCCGGCCUUACAACAAACAAACCAAAGUUUGACCUCAAAUCAGGUAGGAUUACCCGCUGAACUUAA
rnacentral:rRNA from 1 species